CUUAACGGACGGUCAGCUCCGUUUUCAACAAUUCGCCUUGUCGAAUGGUCUGCGCAACGUCGCACGAAGUCGAGCAAACUUUGACAUCUCAUAGAUAGCAAAUCAUCAACUUCACAUCAGAAAUCAUGAGGACAACUUCUGUGUGUCUGAUACUUGGGCUGAUGCUGAUGGCGACUCUGAAUUCUGAAGCUUACCCUUAUCCUCCAGUCCCUGCGACAUGCUGUUUCGACUUCAUUGGCUUCCCAAUUCCAGUGGAUAAAAUUAGAAGUGCUGUGAGAACAAGCUCAUCUUGCACAAAGAAAGCCAUUUUGGUGACAACUGUAAAAUACAACGAGUUUUGUGUGAAACCCGAAGAGACCUGGCUGCAGAAAAUAACAAUAGACAAAUGCUACUGCUAAGUUUCAGCCAGUACAAAUGCAAAUUUGAAUCAUAGUUUCAUUGCUUCAUACCUUAUAUGUUCUUUCUUACUAAAUGCAUUUAGCAUUUCUUUGCUUUAAUAGUAGAUUAUGACAAAAACACUUAAAAUGUUGAACCGCCUUUGAUUUUGCACAUAAACUGUCCUAAAAAAAUAUGCAUAUUUCAUAUGCAUAUGAUCUGCUGAAAAUGUCAAUAAAUAAUAAAAUAGCAUCUCUGAA